AACGAACGCUGGCGGCAGGCCUAACACAUGCAAGUCGAACGCUCGUAGCAAUACGGGAGUGGCGCACGGGUGAGUAACGCGUGGGCACCUGCCCGGUGGUCCGGAAUAACCGCGGGAAACUGCGGCUAAUACCGAAUACGCCCUUAGGGGGAAAGAUUUAUCGCCAUCGGAUGGGCCCGCGUAGGAUUAGCAAGUUGGUUAGGUAACGGCUCACCAAGGCGACGAUCCUUAGCUGGUCUGAGAGGAUGAUCAGCCACACUGGGACUGAGACACGGCCCAGACUCCUACGGGAGGCAGCAGUGGGGAAUAUUGGACAAUGGGGGCAACCCUGAUCCAGCCAUGCCGCGUGAGUGAUGAAGGCCUUCGGGUUGUAAAGCUCUUUUGGCGGGGACGAUGAUGACGGUACCCGCAGAAUAAGCCCCGGCUAACUUCGUGCCAGCAGCCGCGGUAACAC
rnacentral:rRNA from 1 species